GGUGAUGUAGCUCAAACGGUAGAGCGCUCGCUUUGCAUGCGAAAAGCACGGGGUUCGAUACCCCGCAUCUCCA
rnacentral:tRNA from 1 species